rnacentral:rRNA from 1 species
GACGAACGCUGGCGGCGUGCCUAAUACAUGCAAGUAGAACGAGUUGCGAACGGGUGAGUAACGCGUGGUAACCUGCCUCAUAGCGGGGGAUAACUAUUGGAAACGAUAGCUAAUACCGCAUACUGUGAGAUGGACCUGCGUUGUAUUAGCUAGUUGGUGAGGUAAAGGCUCACCAAGGCGACGAUCCCUAGCUGGUCUGAGAGGAUGACCAGCCAGACUGGAACAGAGAAAGGGUCCAGACUCCUACGGGAGGCAGCAGUGGGGAAUAGUGCACAAUGGGCGCAAGCCUGAUGCAGCCAUGCGGCGUGUAUGAAGAUGGCCUUAGGGUUGGAAAGUACUGUCAGCGAGGAGGCGUUACUCGCAGAAGAAGCACCGGCUAACUCCGUGCCAGCAGCCGCGGUAAUAC